rnacentral:sRNA from 1 species
AGGCUACUCUUUAAAGACAGGCAUUUUACUUGCAGCAAAAUAAGAAACAGUAGUGGAAGCUAGGAGACACUAUCAAGGGAAAAGCACUUUUCUGAGGAAACCAGAGAGUCCUACUUUGACAUUUCAACACAGACCUUCAGGAGCCCUGCUGCUGAAGAAACAGAAGACCUGGAGGUAAUAAAGUGAUUUGUUCAAGUUACAAAGCUAACCAAUGAUGGAACCAAGACUAGAAUUCUUGAACAGAACAUGCGUCAGAAAAUGCUUAGAGGAGCAAAGGCAAAUAAAACAAUCCUUCAGCACACUGGAUUUCUGAACCACUGCCCCAUUCUCACCAUUAUCCCAGAUGCUGCCCUGGAAGCCUCACUGUCAUUACUCCACUUAGAAUAUGAGAAAGAUCUCGACACUAACACCAGCUUCUUCGGCAGAUUGAUGACGUGGCUGCUAACAGGCUCUUCUCUUGGAGGUUUACAAUUUCAGCCAGAGUAAGAAGAGCUGGAUAAGGACUUACAAAUUCAGUUCCUUCUUCUUUCCAUGUUCACUUGCACGUGAUGAUUUUAUUAAAGUGAUAUAGCAUUUUUAUUUGCCAUGAAAUCUUCAUUCCACAAUUUAAAUGGGCUUCCGAUGGCUUUACCUGUUAGGUGAACUUUUAGGAACUUUCAUGACCCAUGGUCCAAACUAGAAAUGUUCACCCUCUACUCUAGCUUAAAAAUUGUAUUUUAAAGACAGCACUAGGCUCUUGAUGUGAAAAUAAAGACAAUAUUGUAAAA